GACGAACCGAGCGAACGUUGUUCGGAAUCACUGGGCUUAAAGGGCGCGUAGGCGGGCUGUCAAGUCUGGGGUGAAAUCCCGCGGCUCAACCUGGGAAUUGCAUUCGAGACUGCGUAGCUAGGGUGCGGAAGAGGGAAGCGGAAUUUCCGGUGUAGCGGUGAAAUGCGUAGAUAUCGGAAGGAACACCAGUGGCGAAAGCGGCUUUCUGGGCAUUUCCUGACGCUGAGACGCGAAAGCGUGGGAGCGAACCGG
rnacentral:rRNA from 1 species